CCCAAGAUCAAUUUUAUGUAUUGUUUUUUUAACUAUCUUAUGGUUACAAAUUGUGGGUUAUAAUAUUUGAUGGCUCUACAAUAAUUUUCUUACUGGUUUAGGAACAAAUAAGAAUUCAUCUAACUUCUAAACAAUGAAUUUGCCCCGGUUUGUUUCCCCUGUUUUAUGGUUUUAUAUAUGAUGAAUUUGUAGUUAUUUUUCUGUGUAAAAAUAUAUAAUUUGCCAAAAACAUGGUCACUCAGCCAAUCCUGAGGAUGUUUUGCAGGUAUACGAUGAACCUAAAUGGAAGCUUGAAAUUGUUGUGCAGUACUUUUGGAAAUAUGUGGGAAAGCCUUCUGUCCGUACUCGUAGGUCUAAUGGUUCUGUAGAUGAUACAACAUUUAGUGGAGCAUUGAAGUGCUUUUCAGAUAUCACUGGCACAGAAAGCACUGUUAAAAGAAUUGGGACUGAAGUAAUUCAGUUACUCUUAGUACAUGGAUUUCAGAUUGGAUGUAGCAGAGCAAAGUGGAGAGGUUACACGAUCUGUCUCUGGCCCAGUACUUCCAAGGUAUUAGACGCUCAGCUUGACAAGAGCAUCAUCUAGAUCUUGUAAAUAUGUUCUCAACACCCUCAUGCAGACAUUUCAAAACAAGAGACUGGCUUAUGCUGUCAAGGAAAGCACUCUUGAUAGUCUAAUUACUGAGCUCCUUCUAUGGCUGUUGGAUGAGAGAGUUCCACAUAUGGAUGAUGGCAGCCAUCUUUUAAAAGCUUUGAAUGUUCUGAUGCUAAAGAUUCUGGAUAAUGCAGAUCGAACUUCAUCCUUUGUUGUUCUCAUCAAUCUCUUACGUCCAUUAGAUCCUUCAAGGUGGCCCUCACUUGCAUCAAAUGAGACAUUUGUUGUCAGAAAUUAGAAGUUCUCUGAUCUGGUUGUUAAAUGUUUGAUAAAACUUACAAAGGAAGGCAAUGUUGCCAACCAGAGGGAACAUCUAAUUCUUCUCCUUGCCAAUAUUCACAUUCAGAAAGCUAAUAAGCAGUCUGUCUUGAAGGUAUUCUGAUUGUUAAUUAAGGUUGUAAAGCUUUGGCUUUAACUAAUCCUCUUAUAUAAAUUUGACUUUAUGAUAUUUGGAGUCUAAUGUCAAAAAUGGAUAUUUAUG